CAGAGCUUCAGGCAGAGGCCCAGUUGAUCUGCCUUGUAAAUCAGCCUCCGCCCCCACCCGAAGUGGGGGCUGCUACGGCUGUUUCUGCCCAAGGGGCUGGGCUCCCCUCCUGGGAGUCCCUCCCCACCCCCUGCCUCAGCACUUCCUGCUCUGGGCUUCCCUCUCUGGGCUGCUGUGAAUGGAGGGGCAGGCUAUGAGUUUUGGAAGUGUUGGAACUAGGAUCCCUGUCACAAAGGUAGUCGUCUUUGCUCAGAUUUACCCCAGUGGCUGGACGAAAGUGAUAUAUCAUGAAGGACAGUGGGAGAUGCCGUUACUGAGCCUCGGGCUGAGGGCCCUAGGGAAACCACGGCCUCUUGGUUGUGUGACUAGCAGGAAGCUAGUCAUUAUGGGAAUAUUUGGAGAGAAUUGGGACCAAAUGCAACCUUCUCUGCUGGAGCAACAGCCCAAACCCACAAGGGAGUGCGUGAACUGGAGAGCAUUUGCUAGAUAUCAGCCAGGGUGCAGGAGACAUGCAACAUGUUGUUGGAGCAGGAGAGAAAGCACCGGCAUCCAGAAGCUCUACCUGCAUAAGGGCGGCUCUUAUUCUCUGGGUCCCAGAUGCCAGAAAUAGAGAUGACCUUGGGGCUGGGAGUGUAUGGGGAGGGUCUCCUUUCAGAGAAAACACUUCUAAAGUGGGAGUAUAUCAGGACAAAACUGAGAAAGAAAUUAUCAAUGAUAUGGCCACAACCCAGAAUGCCUCCAUAGACAGUGGUGGUUUGAAUGAGAUUGCCCUCAUGGGUCUGUAUAUUUGCAUGCUUAGUCCUCAGUUGCUGAACUGUUUGGAAGGAUCUGGAGGUAUGUCCUUGUUGGAGUAGGUGUGUCCUUGCUGGAGUGGGUGUGGCCUUGUUGGAGUGGGUGUGGCCCUGCUGGAGUGGGUGUGGCC
ensembl:lncRNA LOC102548045 uncharacterized LOC102548045